CAGCUGCUUGUUUAUGUUUAAGCAUUUUAUUAUUGUAUGUAUUUUGGUAUUUGUUUGAAGGUUUUAUCGGACAUCGGAUAAUUCAAGCCACAUACCUGAUUGCGAAACGAUAGAUAUGGAAGAUUCCAAGGAUACAGUCAUCGUGAUUGGGUGCGGAAAACUAAAGGGCCCUCAGUUCAUAGAGUUGUUUAAGGGGGUUGGACCAAUAAAGGUUGCAUACGACGGCAACACACUGGCCCGGAUAAACCUACAGCGUCAAGAGGGAAUCGUGACCUAUCAGAACUCCGAGCUUGCCAAAAAGCCAUUGCAACCUUGAACGGUAUUUUUCAGAAAUGUAGUUCGAUCGUUCGUUGUUUAUCAGGCAAUUAAUAAUUAAUUAUAGCAUUAUGAUGCAUAGUUACUUUUGCUUCAGAGCGUACGUUGUUUAUUUACCGCUAAAACGAUUGUGCGAAAAAUUAUUUGAGUUUUACAUUAUAUAUAUAAGACAUGCAUUAUAAUUUUGUUUUGGAACUAUUUUCCCAUGCUCAACUCAAAAUCGGGACUACUUUUUGCGAUGUGCAUAUAAUAUACAAGGUAUUUUCAAAGAAAAAUCCAUAUCGAUCAGGAAUCAAAGCAUCGUAUUGCAUCAUUUUCAGCAAAUUA